rnacentral:rRNA from 1 species
GAUGAACGCUGGCGGCGUGCCUAAUACAUGCAAGUCGAACGAAUCUUCUUCGGAAGAUGAGUGGCGAACGGGUGAGUAAUACAUAGGUAACCUGCCCCUGUGCGGGGGAUAACAGGAGGAAACUCCUGCUAAUACCGCAUAGCAAUGAGCACCGCAUCGAGCUCAUGCCAAAUAUCCUUUCGGGGAUAGCGCAGGGAUGGACCUAUGGCGCAUUAGCUGGUUGGCGGGGCAACGGCCCACCAAGGCAACGAUGCGUAGCCGGCCUGAGAGGGCGGACGGCCACAUUGGGACUGAGACACGGCCCAGACUCCUACGGGAGGCAGCAGUAGGGAAUUUUCGGCAAUGGGGGAAACCCUGACCGAGCAACGCCGCGUGAGCGAAGAAGGCCUUCGGGUCGUAAAGCUCUGUUGUAAAGGAAGAACGGCGCAUACAGGAAAUGGUAUGCGAGUGACGGUACUUUACCAGAAAGCCACGGCUAACUACGUGCCAGCCGCCGCCGUAA